rnacentral:rRNA from 1 species
UACGUAGGGUCCGAGCGUUGUCCGGAAUUAUUGGGCGUAAAGGGCUCGUAGGCGGUUCGUCGCGUCGGGAGUGAAAACUCGGGGCUUAACCCCGAGCCUGCUUCUGAUACGGGCAGACUAGAGGUAUGCAGGGGAGAACGGAAUUCCUGGUGUAGCGGUGAAAUGCGCAGAUAUCAGGAGGAACACCGGUGGCGAAGGCGGUUCUCUGGGCAUUACCUGACGCUGAGGAGCGAAAGUGUGGGGAGCGAACAGG